rnacentral:rRNA from 1 species
AGAGUUUGAUCAUGGCUCAGAACGAACGCUGGCGGCAUGCCUAACACAUGCAAGUCGAACGAGACCUUCGGGUCUAGUGGCGCACGGGUGCGUAACGCGUGGGAAUCUGCCCUUGGGUUCGGAAUAACAGUUGGAAACGACUGCUAAUACCGGAUGAUGACGUAAGUCCAAAGAUUUAUCGCCCAAGGAUGAGCCCGCGUAGGAUUAGCUAGUUGGUGAGGUAAAGGCUCACCAAGGCGACGAUCCUUAGCUGGUCUGAGAGGAUGAUCAGCCACACUGGGACUGAGACACGGCCCAGACUCCUACGGGAGGCAGCAGUGGGGAAUAUUGGACAAUGGGCGAAAGCCUGAUCCAGCAAUGCCGCGUGAGUGAUGAAGGCCUUAGGGUUGUAAACCCCUUUCAGCGGGGAAGAUAAUGACGGUACCCGCAGAAGA